rnacentral:rRNA from 1 species
AUUGAACGCUGGCGGCGUGCCUAACACAUGCAAGUCGAGCGGCAGCGCGGGAGCAAAUCCUGGCGGCGAGCGGCGAACGGGUGAGUAAUGCUUCGGAAUCUGCCUCGUAGUGGGGAAUAACCAGCCGAAAGGUUGGCUAAUGCCGCAUACGAACUACGGUUGAAAGCGGGGGAUCGCAAGACCUCGCGCUAUGAGAUGAGCCGAAGUCGGAUUAGCUAGUUGGUGAGGUAACGGCUCACCAAGGCGACAAUCCGUAGCUGGUCUGAGAGGACGACCAGCCACACUGGGACUGAGACACGGCCCAGACUCCUACGGGAGGCAGCAGUGGGGAAUAUUGGACAAUGGGGGAAACCCUGAUCCAGCGACGCCGCGUGUGUGAAGAAGGCCUGCGGGUUGUAAAGCACUUUUAGUGGGGAUGAAAAGCUCAGGGCUAAUACUCCUGGGUCUUGACCUAACCCAAAGAAAAAGCACCGGGCUAACUCUGUGCCCAGCAGCCGCGGUAA